rnacentral:rRNA from 1 species
UACGAAGGGGGCUAGCGUUGCUCGGAAUCACUGGGCGUAAAGGGUGCGUAGGCGGGUCUUUAAGUCAGGGGUGAAAUCCUGGAGCUCAACUCCAGAACUGCCUUUGAUACUGAGGAUCUUGAGUUCGGGAGAGGUGAGUGGAACUGCGAGGUGUAGAGGUGAAAUUCGUAGAUAUUGCAAGAACACCAGUGGCGAAGGCGGACCCACUGGCCCGAGUACUGACGCUGAGGCACGAAAGCGUGGGGAAGCCAAAGCAGGGAUUAAGAUGAAUCCCCAG